rnacentral:rRNA from 1 species
UACGGAGGGUGCAAACGUUGCUCGGAAUCAUUGGGCGUAAAGCGCACGUAGGCGGCUCGUUAAGUCGGGUGUGAAAUCCCUCGGCUCAACCGAGGAAGUGCAUUCGAAACUGGCGAGCUUGAAUAUGGAAGAGGGUCGCGGAAUUCCCGGUGUAGAGGUGAAAUUCGUAGAUAUCGGGAGGAACACCAGUGGCGAAGGCGGCGACCUGGGCCAAUAUUGACGCUGAGGUGCGAAAGCGUGGGGAGCAAACAGG